GAGGCCUGUGUCUUCUACUUCUGAAUCUAUAUUAAGUUCAUUUCAACAGCAUCUGCUUCUGUUUAACACUAUUUUGCACAUAAUGAGGCCACACACACACACAAAAAAAUACCACACACAGAAUUCAUAAAGUCGAAUUUUUAGAACUAGAAGUGUUGAUCGAAUGUCAUUUAGAAUUGAGAAUAUAGUCUUAUAUGUGUCAAUUUGGUGGUGGUGUGGAAUAGUAUCUUCUUGAAGUCAUAGUAUGGCUUGGGUAUGUUUUAUUGUUACCUCUGCUAUUUUUAUUUUAGCAAGGUCUGUAUAAUAGUUUUUCACUCAGCUCCUUUGUAAAAAUAAUUUUCAAAACAUCCUUAACAUUUUAGAUAUGUGAUUAUUUUACAGAAAGAAUUUUCAAACAGUUUAAAUGGUACUACUUAAUACUUGGAAACUGAUGAUCAAACGUUUAAAUUGAAACUCUUUGUACCAGUGAACUGGUUUUUUACUAAAAGC
rnacentral:lncRNA from 1 species